UGAAUACGAGACGCUAAGGCGUCGAAGUAGUGUAUGUCAUGCUUCCAAGAAAAGCUUGCACUGUCAUAGAUAAAAAACGCCUGUACCAUAACCGACACAGGUGGGUAGGUAGAGUAUACUAAGGGGCGCGAGAUAACUCUCUCUAAGGAACUCGGCAAAAUAACUCCGUAACUUCGGGAGAAGGAGUGCCUUAUUCUUAAGGUUGCAAUAACAAGAUCCAAGCAACUGUUUAUCAAAAACACAGGUCUCCGCUAAGUCGUAAGACGAUGUAUGGGGGCUGACGCCUGCCCAGUGCCAGAAGGUUAAAGAAGUUGGUUAGCAUUUGCGAAGCUGAUAACUGAAGCCCUGGUGAACGGCGGCCGUAACAAUAACGGUCCUAAGGUAGCGAAAUUCCUUGUCGGGUAAGUUCCGACCCGCACGAAAGGCGUAAUGAUUUGGAUACUGUCUCGGAGAGGGGCUCGGUGAAAUAGACUUGUCUGUGAAGAUGCGGACUACCUGCACCAGGACAGAAAGACCCUAUGAAGCUUUACUGUAACUUGAAAUUGAAAUUGGACUUUAUUCGCGCAGCAUAGGUGGGAGGCGUUGAUUAUAAUCUCGUGGGAUUAUUGGAGCCAUCAGUGAGAUACCACUCUUGUAAUGUUAGAUUUCUAACUUUGAAUCAUUAUCUGGUCAAAGAACAGUUUCGGGCGGGCAGUUUGACUGGGGCGGUCGCCUCCUAAACGGUAACGGAGGCGUACAAAGGUUUCCUCUGAACGGUUAGAAAUCGUAUCUAGAGUGUAAAGGCAUAAGGAAGCUUGACUGUGAGACCUACAAGUCGAGCAGGGACGAAAGUCGGUCUUAGUGAUCUGACGGUACUGAGUGGAAAGGCCGUCACUCAACGGAUAAAAGUUACUCUAGGAUAACAGGCUGAUCUCCCCCAAGAGUUCACAUCGACGGGGAGGUUUGGCACCUUGAUGUCGGCUCAUCGCAUCCUGGGGCGGUAGUACGUCCCAAGGGUUGGGCUGUUCGCCCAUGAAAGCGGUACGCGAGCUGGGUUCAGAACGUCGUGAGACAGUUCGGUCCAUAUCCGGUGUAGGCGUUAGAAUAUUGAGAGGAGCCUUCUUUAGUACGAGAGGACCGAGAAGGACAUACCUCUGGUGUACCAGUUAUCGUGCCAACGGUAAACGCUGGGUAGCUAUGUAUGGAGUGGAUAACCGCUGAAAGCAUCUAAGUGGGAAGCCCACCUCAAGAUAAGUAUUCUCAUC
rnacentral:rRNA from 1 species